rnacentral:tRNA from 1 species
CCUUAGCUCAGUUGGUUAGAGCAGUGGACUCAUAAUCCAUUGGUCCGGGGUUCAAGUCCCUGAG